AGGCUUGUCCCCUUGCUAGGGCUCCCUCUAGUGGUGAACAGCAGUACUGCACAUGUGCGGUUUAUGCACCAGGUGUUAGUUGACCGUUAAUAUGCUAAUGAGGUGAUUCAUUCUCCGCCAAUCCCUGGAGGACAAGUAGUGGGAUGAUCCAAGCCCCACCAAUCCCUGAGAGAUAAUUAGCAUACUGUUGUCUAUAUAAGCCGAGCGAUUUUGCUGCUCGGGGUCCCUGUUCAGAAGAGCUGUAACACUGAGAAGAGCUGUUAACACUAAGAAGAGCUGUAACACAGUAAAGGCUUGCUCGCAGAAGAAUCCUGUUGCCGCGCGUCGUUCUUGCUGGCGGGACAUUGGGCGCGCGACAAGUGGUGCCGAGACCCGGGAACCAACAUCACCGGUGCCGAGGGGACCCUUCAGUGUGCUGAAGAGGAUUCAGAACUGCGAGAAGAGUGUCAGCCAGAGCUUUCCUCUACUCUGCAAAUUAAAGAUACAACUUUCUCCAUCUUGGACUCAACAUGAGAAAGCAGAGCUGACACCAUGUCACAAACAGAAUUGCUCAGUUUGGAAAGGGCACAUAUCGAGCUCAGGAGAUGGCAUACAACUGUCUCCAAAUUCUAUUGAGCUCAGAUGACUGCUCACAGUCUGGAUUUGUGGAAUGCACAGCAUGAGAUCAUCAUCGCUGAAAUUAACUGUUCCAUUAAUUAGCUAAGUCUCAAAACUUUUUCUUUUUGAUUCAGUUGGUACUUCAUCUUGCUAAAUCUUUUCUGGAAAUAAGAUUGGUUUUCUGAAGAAAAAUAAAAUGUUUUAUUUUAACUGUUAGAAGAAA